GAUGAACGCUAGCUACAGGCUUAACACAUGCAAGUCGAGGGGCAGCAUGGUCUUAGCUUGCUAAGGCCGAUGGCGACCGGCGCACGGGUGAGUAACACGUAUCCAACCUGCCGUCUACUCUUGGACAGCCUUCUGAAAGGAAGAUUAAUACAAGAUGGCAUCAUGAGUCCGCAUGUUCACAUGAUUAAAGGUAUUCCGGUAGACGAUGGGGAUGCGUUCCAUUAGAUAGUAGGCGGGGUAACGGCCCACCUAGUCUUCGAUGGAUAGGGGUUCUGAGAGGAAGGUCCCCCACAUUGGAACUGAGACACGGUCCAAACUCCUACGGGAGGCAGCAGUGAGGAAUAUUGGUCAAUGGGCGAGAGCCUGAACCAGCCAAGUAGCGUGAAGGAUGACUGCCCUAUGGGUUGUAAACUUCUUUUAUAAAGGAAUAAAGUCGGGUAUGGAUACCCGUUUGCAUGUACUUUAUGAAUAAGGAUCGGCUAACUCCGUGCCAGCAGCCGCGGUAAUACGGAGGAUCCGAGCGUUAUCCGGAUUUAUUGGGUUUAAAGGGAGCGUAGAUGGAUGUUUAAGUCAGUUGUGAAAGUUUGCGGCUCAACCGUAAAAUUGCAGUUGAUACUGGAUAUCUUGAGUGCAGUUGAGGCAGGCGGAAUUCGUGGUGUAGCGGUGAAAUGCUUAGAUAUCACGAAGAACUCCGAUUGCGAAGGCAGCCUGCUAAGCUGCAACUGACAUUGAGGCUCGAAAGUGUGGGUAUCAAACAGGAUUAGAUACCCUGGUAGUCCACACGGUAAACGAUGAAUACUCGCUGUUUGCGAUAUACUGCAAGCGGCCAAGCGAAAGCGUUAAGUAUUCCACCUGGGGAGUACGCCGGCAACGGUGAAACUCAAAGGAAUUGACGGGGGCCCGCACAAGCGGAGGAACAUGUGGUUUAAUUCGAUGAUACGCGAGGAACCUUACCCGGGCUUAAAUUGCAGAUGAAUUACGGUGAAAGCCGUAAGCCGCAAGGCAUCUGUGAAGGUGCUGCAUGGUUGUCGUCAGCUCGUGCCGUGAGGUGUCGGCUUAAGUGCCAUAACGAGCGCAACCCUUGUUGUCAGUUACUAACAGGUUCCGCUGAGGACUCUGACAAGACUGCCAUCGUAAGAUGUGAGGAAGGUGGGGAUGGCGUCAAAUCAGCACGGCCCUUACGUCCGGGGCUACACACGUGUUACAAUGGGGGGUACAGAGGGCCGCUACCACGCGAGUGGAUGCCAAUCCCCAAAACCUCUCUCAGUUCGGACUGGAGUCUGCAACCCGACUCCACGAAGCUGGAUUCGCUAGUAAUCGCGCAUCAGCCACGGCGCGGUGAAUACGUUCCCGGGCCU
rnacentral:rRNA from 1 species